GGGGUGCUAUACAUGCAGUCGAGCGAACGGACGAGAAGCUUGCUUCUCUGAUGUUAGCGGCGGACGGGUGAGUAACACGUGGAUAACCUACCUAUAAGACUGGGAUAACUUCGGGAAACCGGAGCUAAUACCGGAUAAUAUUUUGAACCGCAUGGUUCAAAAGUGAAAGACGGUCUUGCUGUCACUUAUAGAUGGAUCCGCGCUGCAUUAGCUAGUUGGUAAGGUAACGGCUUACCAAGGCAACGAUGCAUAGCCGACCUGAGAGGGUGAUCGGCCACACUGGAACUGAGACACGGUCCAGACUCCUACGGGAGGCAGCAGUAGGGAAUCUUCCGCAAUGGGCGAAAGCCUGACGGAGCAACGCCGCGUGAGUGAUGAAGGUCUUCGGAUCGUAAAACUCUGUUAUUAGGGAAGAACAUAUGUGUAAGUAACUGUGCACAUCUUGACGGUACCUAAUCAGAAAGCCACGGCUAACUACGUGCCAGCAGCCGCGGUAAUACGUAGGUGGCAAGCGUUAUCCGGAAUUAUUGGGCGUAAAGCGCGCGUAGGCGGUUUUUUAAGUCUGAUGUGAAAGCCCACGGCUCAACCGUGGAGGGUCAUUGGAAACUGGAAAACUUGAGUGCAGAAGAGGAAAGUGGAAUUCCAUGUGUAGCGGUGAAAUGCGCAGAGAUAUGGAGGAACACCAGUGGCGAAGGCGACUUUCUGGUCUGUAACUGACGCUGAUGUGCGAAAGCGUGGGGAUCAAACAGGAUUAGAUACCCUGGUAGUCCACGCCGUAAACGAUGAGUGCUAAGUGUUAGGGGGUUUCCGCCCCUUAGUGCUGCAGCUAACGCAUUAAGCACUCCGCCUGGGGAGUACGACCGCAAGGUUGAAACUCAAAGGAAUUGACGGGGACCCGCACAAGCGGUGGAGCAUGUGGUUUAAUUCGAAGCAACGCGAAGAACCUUACCAAAUCUUGACAUCCUUUGACAACUCUAGAGAUAGAGCCUUCCCCUUCGGGGGACAAAGUGACAGGUGGUGCAUGGUUGUCGUCAGCUCGUGUCGUGAGAUGUUGGGUUAAGUCCCGCAACGAGCGCAACCCUUAAGCUUAGUUGCCAUCAUUAAGUUGGGCACUCUAAGUUGACUGCCGGUGACAAACCGGAGGAAGGUGGGGAUGACGUCAAAUCAUCAUGCCCCUUAUGAUUUGGGCUACACACGUGCUACAAUGGACAAUACAAAGGGCAGCGAAACCGCGAGGUCAAGCAAAUCCCAUAAAGUUGUUCUCAGUUCGGAUUGUAGUCUGCAACUCGACUACAUGAAGCU
rnacentral:rRNA from 1 species